CAGCAGCCACGGGAAUACGUAGGUGGCAAGCGUUGUCCGGAAUUAUUGGGCGUAAAGGGCUCGCAGGCGGUUUCUUAAGUCUGAUGUGAAAGCCCCCGGCUCAACCGGGGAGGGUCGUUGGAAACUGGGAAACUUGAGUGCAGAAGAGGAGGGUGGAAUUCCACGUGUAGCGGUGAAAUGCGUAGAGAUGUGGAGGAACACCAGUGGCGAAGGCGACUCUCUGGUCUGUAACUGACGCUGAGGAGCGAAAGCGUGGGGAGCGAACAGGAUUAGAUACCCCGGUAGUCCCUGUCUCUUAUAC
rnacentral:rRNA from 1 species